CAGCGGUAAGCCGGAUGGUGAGUGAGGAAGGCUGCAGAGGCAGGCAGGGGCUGGAGCUCAGGCCCAGACCUGGUGAAUGUCCCGGGAGGUCAGCAUCUCUAAAGGGGAUGGGGGCUCAGAGCUGAGCCGCAGUUCAUCCAGCAAAGGCCUGCCGCCGCCAUGCCACCCUGCCUUCGCUGCAUUGGCAGUGAGAAAGACCCAGAACAUUCCAUAGGAAACCUGCUAUAAAUAGACUCCGGCUCCACCCCUCUGUCCAGGCUGGAGCCUGGAAAGGCAGCGGAAGAUGGCUCAAAUCCUUGGGACACUGUAACCGUGUAAGAGACCUGGAAAGCAGCUUCGGACCAGUCCUGCUCUGGCUGCGG